AGAGGCAGUAGGGAUGACCAGGGAUGUUCUCUGUUUAGUGAGUCCUCCAGAUCAGAGGCAGUAGGGAUGACCAGGGAUGUUCUCUGUUUAGUGAGUCCUCCAGAUCAGAGGCAGUAGGGAUGACCAGGGAUGUUCUCUGUUUAGUGAGUCCUCCAGAUCAGAGGCAGUAGGGAUGACCAGGGAUGUUCUCUGUUUAGUGAGUCUUCCAGAUCAGAGUCAGUAGGGAUGACCAGGGAUGUUCUCUGUUUAGUGAGUCCUCCAGAUCAGAGGCAGUAGGGAUGACCAGGGAUGUUCUCUGUUUAGUGAGUCCUCCAGAUCAGAGGCAGUAGGGAUGACCAGGGAUGUUCUCUGUUUAGUGAGUCUUCCA
ensembl:lncRNA